GACGAACGCUGGCGGCGUGCCUAACACAUGCAAGUCGAACGGAGAAUUUCGAAGAGUUUACUCAGAGAAGUUCUUAGUGGCGGACGGGUGAGUAACGCGUGGGUAACCUACCCAUAAAGUCGGGACAACCCUUGGAAACGAGGGCUAAUACCGAAUAAUCUUAAGUUGUGGCAUCACGGAUUAAGAAAAGGUGGCCUCUGAAAAUGCUACCGAUUAUGGAUGGACCCGCGUCUGAUUAGCUAGUUGGUGGGGUAAAGGCCUACCAAGGCGACGAUCAGUAGCCGGCCUGAGAGGGUGAACGGCCACACUGGGACUGAGACACGGCCCAGACUCCUACGGGAGGCAG
rnacentral:rRNA from 1 species